CCUACGGGAGGCAGCAGUGAGGAAUAUUGGUCAAUGGACGAGAGUCUGAACCAGCCAAGUAGCGUGAAGGAUGACUGCCCUAUGGGUUGUAAACUUCUUUUAUAAAGGAAUAAAACGAGGCACGUGUGCCUUUUUGCAUGUACUUUAUGAAUAAGGAUCGGCUAACUCCGUGCCAGCAGCCGCGGUAAUACGGAGGAUCCGAGCGUUAUCCGGAUUUAUUGGGUUUAAGGGGAGCGUAGAUGGGUUGUUAAGUCAGUUGUGAAAGUUUGCGGCUCAACCGUAAAAUUGCAAUUGAUACUGGCAGUCGUGAGUACAGUUGAGGUAGGCGGAAUUCGUGGUGUAGCGGUGAAAUGCUUAGAUAUCACGAAGAACCCCGAUUGCGAAGGCAGCUUACUAAACUGUGACUGACAUUGAUGCUCGAAAGUGUGGGUAUCAAACAGGAUUAGAUACCCUGGUAGUC
rnacentral:rRNA from 1 species